AGGCAGACGCGGAAGUGCAGGGAGGCACCGGGAGCCGGAUUUGGUUGCAGGAUUUGCGGCCGAGCCCUGCGCCUCGUGAAUGUUCUAGAGAGGUAGAUUCCUAGCGGCCGGCUUCCACCAGCCCAGACCAGACGUAGCCGGCGCUAGGGGCCACUCCUCGGUCGAGGAGCUGAUGCCGGCCGCUCCCUGGAGCCCCCGUAGCGGGGCCGGACCAUGAGCCUGCUGGGCGGCCUGGCCUCCUCGCCGCGGGCCCCGCUGCAGUCCAGCAAGGCCAGGAUGAAAAAGCUCCCGAAGAAGAGCCAGAACGAGAAGUACCGGCUUAAGUACCUGCGGCUGCGCAAAGCGGCCAAAGCCACGGUGUUUGAAAAUGCUGCUAUUUGUGAUGAAAUUGCUCGUCUUGAGGAAAAAUUUCUUAAAGCUAAAGAAGAAAGACGGUACUUGCUAAAGAAGCUCCUUCAGCUCCAGGCUCUAACUGAAGGGGAAGCACAGGUUGCAGCUCCUUCCCACAGCUCCAGUUUGCCCCUGACUUACAGUGUGGCCAGCUCUGUGGGAACUAUCCAGGGAGCUGGGCCGCUUUCUGGGCCUAGCACUGGAGCUGAGGAACCAUUUGGAAAGAAAUCCAAGAAGGAGAAAAAAGAAAAAGGCAAAGAGAACAACAAACUGGAAGUUCUGAAGAAAACAUCCAAGAAAAAGAAAAUGGAGACAGGUGCUCGCAAGCUGGUUCAGCCCAUUGCCCUGGAUCCCUCAGGACGGCCUGUGUUCCCCAUCGGACUGGGGGGUCUAACAGUAUAUAGCCUGGGGGAGAUCAUCACCGACCGACCUGGCUUCCAUGACGAGGGCGCCAUCUACCCUGUGGGCUACUGCAGCACUCGGGUGUACGCCAGCAUGAAGAGCCCAGACCAGCAGUGUCUGUACACCUGUCAGAUCAAGGACGGUGGCACACAGCCUCAGUUUGAAAUUGUUCCUGAAGAUGACCCCCAGAAUGCCAUUGCCAGCUCUUCUGCAGACGCCUGUCAUGCAGAACUGCUCGAGACCAUAAGUGCUGCUAUGGGGAAACUAAUGCCCAACGUGCAUCCAUCUGGAGCUGACUUUUUUGGGUUUUCUCAUCCGGCCAUCCACAACCUGAUCCAGAGUUGUCCAGGAGCUCGAAAAUGCGUCAAGCACAGUAUUGGUCCUCUGCGGCCCCUGGACGGCGAGCAGGAGCCAGUACCCCACUGUACUGAAGUUCUUAUCGUCUGUGUGCACCAUGACAGCAAAUGGAUUGGGAAGUCCUGCAGAUUACCAGUGGGUGAAGUUCGACGUGUGUAAACCUGGAGACAGUCUGCCGCCCCAAGGACAGCUAGAGAAUGAUGCAGCUACAAGCUUUGAAGCCUUUCAGAGACAGACCUUCCAUAAAGAUCACAAUGAUCCCAUUCUACAAGCAUUAAGGUAGAGGCAUACCACAACACCUAAUCCCAGCCAGGACAACUCCACGGUGCCUUGUGGGAUGCUUCGCUGCCCACCCAGCCCGGCCUGGAAUGGGAAGGAACAAAAGGACCCCGGAAGUAGAAGAAUGGGGAAGGCGGUGAGAACUGGAUUGUCACUGUGCUACCGUCCAUAGCUGCUAACGGGGGAGGAAACAAAUGGGCCUAGCAUCUUACAGGACUAUAUCUGGAUGGCAGAGGGAGGGAUCUGAUGCAGCAUUUAGAGCACAUCACACUGGCCACUGCAAAGUAUCAGAAACUAAAGUAACUAACACUAAUUUUAUGAUUCUUAUUUAUAGUCUUACAAGUUUGUAUAGCUUUUACAGUGCAAAAACAAUAGUAAAAUUUGGAUAAUAGCAAAUCAGGGAUAGAAAGGAGUUACGCAAAACUGUCAAUGUUUUUCGUUUUUCUUUUUUCUCUGCAUAAGGUGCCUGAAGCCAUUUGCACUUACACAGAAAUGGUAUAUGCUGCUUUUAUCACAUAACCAGUAUCUUUCCAUUCUGUUACAGCCUGAGUUAAUCACAGAUUCAACGUGAGCGUCAUUCUAAG